UUCUUUGUGAAAGAUGACAGUUUGGACUUUGGUCGCUUGAAAGUUCCAGUGUAGAAGUUAGGGCACGCUUUCUCCCUCUGCAUUGUCGGUCUAAGUUGUUUUUUUGAUCAAAAUCAUAUUACAAUUUCAUACCUGCAAGCUGCCCCAUCAUCAUCAUCUCGACAAUGGCACAUCUUAUUUCAGAAUUGGAGAGAGUGCGCCUCGGAUAAUCUUUCACAACAUUGUUCAUAGGCCUCGCCACAGUAUAAUCGGUAUACUAACUCCUAAUUUACAAGUUUGUCUGUCUGAGGAAGACAAAUGCUGUUCUUUUCCUGUUGAACUUAUGUGGACUUUUUGGAAAUAUUAGAUCAUUUUUACUUUUCCCCAACUCUCUCAAGCAAUUCAAUAACCCUAGUUCAAAAUUUAAUCUGCUACUUCCAAACAAUGACUGCAGCUUCUAAUCAUGUUUAUUUUGAAGAAGAGUCUUCAAUGCCGACCCUUACUUCUCAAUCAAGCAAUUGUCAAGCCAUUUUGAAUCCAUCCAAGUAUCCUGAACCUCUUCAGAUUUUGGUGGAAUGUAUGAAAUGUUCUUUUUUAAGUAGAGCUUUGUCAACAGCUAAAGAGGUUCCAAUGAGAAUCGUUACUCUAGCAUUCACUACAGCAAUUGUCAACAAAGUGAACGAUACAGUUUCUUUUGUAAUUCAUGGUGGAAAGCGAACAACCAUUUCUAAGACAAAUUUUGCAAAACUUUUAUGUCUUCCAACUCAAGGGCCGUAUGUUACUCCAACAAGUGAAGAGCUCAUUGAUAUGUUCAAUUCUAUGGGUCAUAAACCUUAUAUGAAGAAGGUGUCUGAUUUCAAAAAGAGCAAACUUCCUGCUGUUUGGAGUCUGCUAUUUGGAUUCAUUCUUCGUGGCUUAACAAGUCGUGCUUGUGGAUUGGAUGCUGCACGCAGAGAGGUAUUGUCUCUUAUGUAUGGGUUGUAUAAAGGUGUGAAUGUUGAUUUUGCUACGGUGCUUUGGGGUGACUUUGUUGAUAGCAUCAAACAUUCAAAAAGGGCAACUGAACUUUCUGCACAUAGAUUUUGGGGUUUAAUAGUUUCUCAAGCUUAUGAAUUUCACAAAAUUUCAAUUGAAGAGUCUGAAAUUCCGAAGAUGGUGAUUCAUCAAAUUAGUGUUCCGACCAAAGUUGAUCAUUCUCAUUUCUCUUUUGUUGGUCAGAUUCCUGAAGAAAUGUUGAGUUUGAUUAAAACUCCAAGUAAGAUUUUGGAUCAAUACAGGGCUACUCUUAUCAUUCCUUAUCCUGUUCGACCAAAACCUCAAGAAGAAGAUGUUCAGAUUGCAAGAGGUACAAGAAUGACUGUGCAGAAAAGAAAAACUCCAUUUGUUAAAGUUGAAGCUAUAAGAAAGUCAAAGCGAGUGAAGAAACCAAAGAUUGUAGAAGAAUCUGUUGACGAAGAAGAGGAUGAGCAACAACAUCAUAGUGAUUCAAAUUUUGAAGAAGAUAUUCCUAUAACCACAACCCAGACAAUUGUCAAAACUUCUUUAGUGGAGACAAUUCCGAUAUCCGCUUCUACAACUCCAGUCGAAACUACAUUGGUUGAGACAGUUCCCAUUUCAGAACCUGUUUUUGAAACACAUAUUUCCAAACCAAUGUCUAUCUCUGAACCUCUAACCAUUUCUGAAGAAGAAGAAGAAGAGGUUGAUGGAUUUGUGUUUAAGGCCGGGGAAGAUCCUUCUUUUGAUGAUGUUGCCAAUGAUUUUGAAAUGGCUGCUCUUGGUGAAGGUUUAGCUGAUUCUGAUGAAGAGGAUGACGAAGAUGAUAAUCAGUUGAUGUCUAAAAGAGAUUUUAAGAAGUUAAAUCGUAAGCUUAAUGUUGUAUUACAAUCUCUUGAUUCCAAUACUCAACCUGCCCAGCAUUUGAAUCAAGAAAAAAUGCUUGCUGAUUGGUCGGUCAUGCUUUCUGAUCAAAACAAAAAGAUUGAUUCAUUAACGACUGGUUUUGAUCUUUUCAAAGCUCACAUAAAUAUUGAAACCAAGUCCUAUAUGACGAAGGUACAAGAAGUUAUGUUUAAUGAGCGCAAAAAGCUUCUUGAUGAAAUCAUGAAAAUGAGAGAAGAGAAUGAGAAGUCUUUAAAUAAGGCAUUUAGUGAUCUCAAAAGUGAACAUAAAAAUUCUCUCAAAAGUCUUAAUGAAUCUCUUACGGAAGCAAAACAGAGAGAAAUUACUUUACAAAGUGAGUUGACGAAAGCGUUAGCCCAUAUUGAGUUUCUUCGCUCUUACACGAAUGUUGUUAAUCCAAAGAUAUCUUUGUGACCUUCGAAACAAGGUAGAGAAGGAGAAAGUCAGGAAUUGAAUCUCAAGAAUCCAGAGAUCAUUCUUAUAUCAUCCCAAGGUACUUCUUCAUUUCAACCUUCGGCAUUUGUUCCUCAUCCAUCUUCUGAAUAUACCUUACCAUCUACCAUAUCAAACACUGCUGUAUUUCCUGUUUCUACUCAAUUCACAAAGAGUAUUUCUUUCCCAUUAUCAAAACCUUUUUUAAUUGGUUCAACUGCUGUUACUACGAUGCCUUCAUCAAGUUCUGAACCAAGUUCUUCAAAAGGAAAAGAAAAGAUGCAAGUGCUAGCUUAGGAAAGAAGUAGUUCUCGAGUGAAUUUUGAUGCGGAGUACACCAAGAAAUUUGCUGAAGAAGAAAAAGGGGAAGCUGAGAAUAGGGUAAAGCUGAUAAGAAGUCCGGGAUUUUCUAAAAAUAUUGUGUUUCAUCUUGUUCCCAAAGAAAGCUGCUUAAUUAUCAAUUCUUUGGAAAAGCAAAUAGAUUUUCCUGUAUCUCCUAGGGCAUAUAGCUAUCCUAUAACGGGUCCAAAGAUUAAUGAAAAUAUUGAUGAUUUGUCUUGCUGGGAAACCUUCAAAAUGUUUUUGGAGUCCAAAGAUGAUCAGAAAGGUUGAGUGUGUCAUGAAGACCGAAAGUUUUAAAAAGGUGUUUCAGAAUUUCAAGUUUGUUGUUCGGAGAGACAUUAUAGAUGAUAUUGCUUUCUUGAUUGCUGAUUUCCCAAAUCUGAAUCCACACGAUUUAGUUGUUUUGCUGAAGCUUUCAAAAGAAUGGGGUUUGAAGCCAAAUUCUGUUGUGAUGCAGUCUAUCAAGGCUUUUCUCUGUUACUAUUACAGAGAUAUAGCUCGAACUGAUAUAGUCUUGGCUGGAGUUAUAAAUCAGAAAGUAAAGUUACCAAAUAAAGAAGCUGAAGGAAUUGAUAAUAUUGGUGAUGGAGAAAUUGUUACAAAACCAACAUGGGGUUCGACUUAUUCAGCUAGGGUAGCAGGUGGUAGAUCAAGGAAAGUAUUCUUCAGGAUGAAUGAGAAAGAGAGGUUCCCUAAUAACGUGUUGGAGGGAAUGAUUCAAAGGAUUAUGUUGAAUUCUAAGAAUUCUGAAUCUGUGAGAAAGAAAGCUGUGGAUAUGCUAAGAUGGUGGUUGAAGAUCAGAGAAGUUUUGUUGAAAUUGGUUCACAAAGGGAUCCGAUCGUCAUUGAUAAUGGCGUAUCUUGUUUUAGAAUUGGGAAGACUUCCAGAUUCUGAUCGGAGUGGAAAGAUUCCGGUGCCCGGAGAUUCUUUUCCACCCAAACCUAAUUGGAAUUGAACAAGCAGGGUUAGACGAGAUGGCUGGGGUAUCAAUGCAAAGGCUCAAAUCAAGAGCUCAAAGAUUGGAUUUGGAAGAAGUGGUGAUCGGAAUCACCAAUUCCGUCCUCAUAACCGGUGGGAGUUGUCUUUACCCUGGAAUGAGUGAACGUUUAGAAGCUGGAAUCAGAAUGAUGAGGCCAUGUGGGACCCCCAUAAGAAUCUUUAAAGCAUCAGAUGCUGUACUUGACACGUGGCGUGGUAAGCAUCCACCAUGCAUUUCUCACGAUAAGAUUUUAAUAAAAUGAAUUUCUAUGAGAAAGCUGAAGACUGGCUUCGUCAAGGUUAUAUUAAUUUGUUUAAUAAUCAAACUUUCUUUUAACUAUUUCUCCAAUUUGCUGUCCUACCAGUUUUUUUUUUUUUCCCAUUACGUUAUGUGUGGGUAAAAUGGAUAAAUAGGUAAUGAUGUUUGUUUGGAUAUAAUGCAGUGUAUAUAAAAGGUCUAUACAGGUCUAUUGUUUUAUA